rnacentral:rRNA from 1 species
UCUCGGCAACGGAUAUCUCGGCUCACGCAUCGAUGAAGAACGUAGCAAAAUGCGAUACUUGGUGUGAAUUGCAGAAUCCCGUGAACCAUCGAGUUUUUGAACGCAAGUUGCGCCCGAAGCCAUUCGGUUGAGGGCACGUCUGCCUGGGCGUCACGCAUCGCGUC